GAUGAACGCUGGCGGCGUGCCUAAUACAUGCAAGUUGAGCGAACGGACGAGAAGCUUGCUUCUCUGAUGUUAGCGGCGGACGGGUGAGUAACACGUGGAUAACCUACCUAUAAGACUGGGAUAACUUCGGGAAACCGGAGCUAAUACCGGAUAAUAUUUUGAACCGCAUGGUUCAAAAGUGAAAGACGGUCUUGCUGUCACUUAUAGAUGGAUCCGCGCUGCAUUAGCUAGUUGGUAAGGUAACGGCUUACCAAGGCAACGAUGCAUAGCCGACCUGAGAGGGUGAUCGGCCACACUGGAACUGAGACACGGUCCAGACUCCUACGGGAGGCAGCAGUGGGGAAUCUUCCGCAAUGGGCGAAAGCCUGACGGAGCAACGCCGCGUGAGUGAUGAAGGUCUUCGGAUCGUAAAACUCUGUUAUUAGGGAAGAACAUAUGUGUAAGUAACUGUGCACAUCUUGACGGUACCUAAUCAGAAAGCCACGGCUAACUACGUG
rnacentral:rRNA from 1 species